AGUCCCUCGCGCCACCAGCGCAAUGGGCUCGGAGGCAGCUCAGCUGCUGGAGGCUGCUGACUUCGCCGCUCACAAACACCGACAGCAGCGACGAAAAGAUCCUGAAGGGACUCCCUACAUUAAUCACCCCAUCGGUGGGCGCGCCAGUUGGGAAGCAGCCCUCGCGGCCCGUGGCGGGUGGGGACUAACUGGGACGGGAACACAAAGCGCAUAUAAAUUACUGAGCGCCUUCUUCGAGUCCCAAGCGUUGUAUCAACCACUUUUCAUGCGUUAUGCGUGUAAGCCUCACCUGGGGUAGAAGGCAGGAGUGCUCCCUUGGUACAGUCGAUAUCCCAAGAGGGUGUAGCCCGGAUCCUAACCCAUGAGGCUGGAAUCACUGAUAUUGUGGUGUUACAGGCCGCCCUGCUCCAUGACACAGUAGAAGACACAGAUACUACCCUGGAUGAGGUAGAGCUGCACUUUGGAGCACAGGUUCGACGCUUGGUGGAGGAGGUAACAGAUGACAAGACUCUGCCCAAACUGGAAAGAAAGCGGCAACAGGUGGAGCAGGCACCACACAGCAGCCCAGGGGCCAAACUGGUGAAGCUGGCAGACAAGCUAUACAAUCUGAGGGACCUGAAUCGCUGCACCCCUACAGUCAGGGUUUCUAUUCCUGCACAAACAUCAUGACCAAGAAGCAAGUUGGAUCUCAUGGAGGCAUUUCCUCAACAGAAGCUCCUUUCUCCGUGAUAACUCCAGCUGUGUCAAGUUGACACAAAAUUAGCCAGUACAAUUGACCCCUUGUCAACUUGACACACAAAAACAUCACUAGUAAGCCUCAACCCUUACAAUCUUAUUCAUCCCCAAGAUCUAAAUAACUUUAAAAGUCCCACAGCCUUUACAUAUUCUUAAAAUUUCAAUCUCUUUAAAAUAUCCAUCUCUUUUAAAAUCCAAAGUCUUUUUACAAUUAAAAGUCUCUUAACUGUGGGCUCCACUAAAACAGUUUCUUCCUUCAAGAGGGAAAAUAUCAGGGCACAGUCACAAUCAAAAGCAAAAGUCAAUCUCCAACCGUCCAAUGUCUGGGAUCCAACUCACGAUCUUCUGGGCUCCUCCAAGGGCUUGGGUAACUUCUCCAGCCAGGCCCUUUGUAGCACACGCAUCGUCCUCUAGGCUCCAGAUGCCUGUACCCCACUGCUGCUGCUGCUCUUGGUGGUCAUCUCAUGGUACUGGCAUCUCCAAAACACUGCAUGACCCCUUCAGUCCUGGGCCUUCAAUUGCAACUGAGGCUGCACCUUCACCAAUGGCCUUCCAUGGCCUCUCACAGUACCGAACCUCAGCUGCUUUGCGUGACCCCUUCAUGCCUUCAAAACCAGUACCACCUGGGUGACCCUUACAUAUUACCAAGUCCCACUGCAGCAGGAGUACAUCCUUGGCCAUCUCUGGAACACUGCCUCUUUGUGCUUUCAGAAAACACUUCCCAGAAGAUGUCACCUCAAUGAUGCUGGUCUCUUCUUAAUCACCGCUAAUUUCUUAGCUCCAGCUAACCAGCAUCAAUAGUCCCAGUAAUGCAAAGUUUUUGCUUGGUAGUUCUGGUAUCUUGUUAAUCACAGCUGAUUCUUCAGCCCCAGCUAACCAGAACUACAGAAUCUUCACAAACAAAACAGCAAUGGCCCUGAAAAGAGUCUUUAAUUUUCCCUCUGAAAUUUCACAAACCAGAGCUCCAUCUUCUGCAGUGUUCUCAACAUUAUCUUCCAAGCUCCUACAUGACAUCCGACAGAGCUCUUAACAACGGAUGGAUCUUCAAGCCCAAAGUUCCAAAGUCCUUCCACAGUCCUCCCCAAAACAUGGUCAGAUUGUCACAGGAAUACCCCACUCCUGGUACCAAUUUGUCUUAGUCAGGGUUUCUAUUCCUGCACAAACAUCAUGACCAAGAAGCAAGUUGGAUCUCAUGGAGGCAUUUCCUCAACAGAAGCUCCUUUCUCCGUGAUAACUCCAGCUGUGUCAAGUUGACACAAAAUUAGCCAGUACAACCUCCUAGAAUAGUCUUCUUCCCUAAGGUGGGAACAGAGUUGCUGGGUCAUGGAGAAGUUGUCAGAUCAUGCCAUCGCAACUCACGGCCUUGUACCAAAGCCUGCCAGGAAACAGGCAAAAGCCGAUGCUGCCCUUGACACCACACAAGCAGGUUUCUGUCCACUCUGGUGCAGGAUGGUCAGAACACCGAGUCCAGGAGUACUUCGAGUGGGCAGCCCAGGUGGUAAAAGGGCUUCAAGGGACAAACCAGCAACUGGAAGAGGCACUAAAGCAGCUGUUCGAGGAGCGAGGGCUGACGCUCUGAGCCGUUCUCUGUGCCAUCCUGCAGCAUGGCUCCAGCAAGGUCCAGGAAAGAUGGGAUUCUUACUGCAGCGUUCCAGAGCCUCCUCAUUUCCCACAUUCCAUCACUCAACCCUGACAUCACAGGCUAAAAACGUCUGUGUUUUUUCACUAAGGUGGGCCCGGAAUAUGGAAAGCAGAUAUGCCCCUCCAUCCAGGCACUAACAGCCUUUCUUUAAGUCUUGGGUCUGUUUGCAUGGUGAGACCUCUGGCCCCUCAGGGACCUAAGAUUGGAAUAAGCGUCCGUGGUUUAGUCGUGGAAAAUAAAGCACUUAGGUAAAGGC